GGGGAUGAUCGGUUUCGACGGUGUAAGUCGCGACAGAUGAAGCGGGCCGAGGACGCAAAGUUAUCUCGUAAACGCUCUUUGCAAAACAAUAAGUGCCGAAUCUAAGCGCACUGACUUCGCUCUCGCUGCCUAAGCAGCCAGACAGUCCGUUAGCCAGGGGAUGCUAUCGCCCCUGUUCCUAACGUCAUUUAGAUAGCCACUGUAUCCGGCAGUUGUUGCCGCUGUUGGGUACAUAUCUAGGCAACUGUGCCCGGACCAGCCACUUGUUUGCGUGAUGGCUGGGGCAGAGAAAUUCCGCAGCAAACUGCGCCCGGAGAAGACCUGGCAACACUACAUCGGACGGGAGUUCAAUUCUCCCCAUCUCCACCA
rnacentral:tmRNA from 2 species